GUCUCCGUAGCUUAGCGGUGGAGCGUGCGGCUGUUAACCGCAAGGUCCCCAGUUCGAAUAUUGGCGCCAGAUAUUUUAGACGCCUGUGAGAAAGUCUGGGCGGAGACG
rnacentral:tRNA from 1 species